GGAGCCGUAGCGAAAGCGAGUUUUAACUGAGCGUUCAGUUACUUGACGUAGACCCGAAACCGGGCGACCUACCCAUGAGCAGGAUGAAGCGAAAGUAAAAUUUCGUGGAGGUCCGAACCCACGAGCGUUGAAAAGCUCGGGGAUGACUUGUGGGUAGCGGUGAAAUUCCAAUCGAGCCCGGAGAUAGCUGGUUCUCCCCGAAAUAGCUUUAGGGCUAGCCUCAAGGUGAGAGAUACGGAGGUAGAGCACUGAAUGUCCUAGGGGGUAUUGCACCUACCGAAGACUAUCAAACUCCGAAUGCCGUCAUCUUAUACUUGGGAGUCAGACUGUGGGUGAUAAGAUUCAUAGUCGAAAGGGCAACAGCCCAGAUCGUCAGCUAAGGUCCCUAAAUGUAAGUUAAGUGGUAAAGGAUGUGGGAUUGCACAGACAACCAGGAUGUUGGCUUAGAAGCAGCCACUCAUUCAAAGAGUGCGUAAUAGCUCACUGGUCGAGUGAUCCUGCGCCGAAGAUUUCCGGGGCUAAAACUUACUACCGAAGCUACGGCCUCAGUAAUGAUGGGUAGGGGAGCUUCCCAUACGGGUUGAAGCAUGACCGUAAGGACAUGUGGACAGUAUGGGAGUGAGAAUGUUGGCAGGAGUAGCGAGAUGUGGGUGAGAAUCCCACAGGCCGUAAACCCAAGGUUGCCAGGGGAAGGUUCGUCCGCCCUGGGUUAGUCGGGACCUAAGCUGAGGCCGAAAGGCGUAGGUGAUGGACAACAGGUUGAUAUUCCUGUACUACCGAUAACCGUUUGAGAGAAGGGAUGACACAGUA
rnacentral:rRNA from 1 species